GACUGUACAAAGGUAGCAUAAUCAUUUGUCUUUUAAUUGAGGUCUGGAAUGAAUGGUUGGAUGAGAUAUAUACUUUCUUUAUUUUAAAUUUAAAAAUUUAAUUUUUUAGUUAAAAAGCUAAAAUUUUUUUAUAGGACGAGAAGACCCUAUAGAACUUUAUUUUGAUUUUUAUUAUUUUUUUGUUGAUAAUAUAUAGAGAAUUAUAUUUAUUAAAAUUGUGUUGGGGUGACAGAAAAAAUAUAAUAACUUUUUCUAUUUUUUUCAUUUAUUUAUGAUUUUUUGAUCCUUUAUUAUGGAUAAUAAGAUUAAGUUACCUUAGGGAUAACAGCGUUAUUAUUUUGGAGAGUUCAUAUUGAUAAAAUAGUUUGCGACCUCGAUGUUGGAUUAAAAUUAGAUGUGGGAGUAGAAAAUCAUAUAUCUAGGUCUGUUCGACCUUUAAAUUUUUACA
rnacentral:rRNA from 1 species